rnacentral:rRNA from 2 species
AGGUGCGAUCAUACCAGCACUGAUGCACCAGAUUUCAUCAGAACUCCACAGUUAAGCGUGUUUGGGCAAGAGUAGUACUAGGAUGAGUGACCUCUUGGGAAGUCUUUGUGUUGCACCCC